GAGCCGAUUUCAUAAUUCUGCGAAAACAGUCAAGAGGAGGCUGGAAAAGUGUUUGUAUUUCAUUUAGAAAAACGCUGUUACCUCAUCCGCUGUUUAUUCAAGUAAUAGCCCUAUCAUGAUGGAUAUCUCCGCAACACUCGUCAUAGAGUUCAGGGGAGAAUCCGUCGUUUGUACAUAAGAAAACUGAAGUGAGCCUCAGUUUUUGGGGUUUCAAAGGGCUCGGAAUCAGAAGCCUCCACUUUCUUUGCCCCCCAGAGGACUGGCACCCUGGGCAACCACCUAUGUCGCCUAUGCCUAUAGAAGCGACCCCAGUGAGCUAAUAUGGACAUCAGGAUAUUGGCCUGCACUCUGUAAACAUUUUCCUGAACUUUGACAUAAAUGCAUGUAUUACCGUU